GCAGUCGUGGCCGAGUGGGUGAGGUGAUGGACUAGACACCCAAUGGGGUCUCCCCGCAAAGAUUCGAAUCCUGUCGAAUGCG
rnacentral:tRNA from 1 species